rnacentral:lncRNA from 7 species
AAUAUUGCAGACAUACCUAGCCCCAGGCAAGACACUUGCAGCCUCUGCCAACACCUAAGCUUUGCAGACAGAUCACAUGUGACAGGUUAUGCAACUCAGCUGGGCUUUAUAUACGAGUUCGAUGUUAGCAUUUAAGGAACUUACAGGGAAAAGAGCUCCAGGGACUGAAAUUCAACAAAGACUUAGAAAUAAUGGUUAUCCCUCUGCGGAGAAUGACACCUGGGUAUAUAAGGUUGCUGCAGACUCAAGCUGCAGGAAAAAUAGUUAUCAACUCAUCAGACGUACUGCUGCAACGGGCAGCCUUGCUCCUGGGCAUGUUUGGGAUCAGUCUCUCCAGCUACAGCACACACCAGCUGGCUCAACAGAAGAGACUUUCCGUGACCCUUUAAGCUGCGCUGGGAUGUGACCCGACAAAUAAAUGCUUGUGUCAGAAAUGCUGACGAGUAGCUUUUCUGUCUCCGUUGCUGGUGUGGAGGUAAUGAGACACGUUACAGCCUCAAUUUCUACAUGCAGAGUUAAAAAGAUGAAAGAAUACAGACUUCUUCAGGGGAAAAAAAAAAGUAUCAUGACUGAUGGAAAUCAGAUAUCCAAGAACUUGUAAAUACAGUGGAUCUCAGUGGUCUCGUGACGUCCCUUCCAACCCCUGCAAUUCUGUGAUUCUGUUUGUUAUCCAGCAUAUACAUAAAGAGACGUCCAAAUGUAUAUAAUACAGCUUACAUUAGAGUAGAUGUAAACAGAUGGAUGAGGGUGCCAUGCUUAUUUAGCAUCACCUUGCUACAGCUUUUGCAAAUUGACUCCUAUACAAAGACUGGUUUUGAGAAGGAAAGUCAGAAACAAUAUAUUCCUCAUGAUAAGAGUCAAGCCAGAUAAAGAGAAUCUUUUGUAGGCUGUUUGUACUUUCAUAUCUAUGUGAGUUACAGGAAUUGUGCGCUCUAACCGUUAAUAUUGAAACUCAAACUUUUUUAAUGCCUCUUGUACAGAAAUGUGUGUGCGUUGUAGCACACGCUGAUUUCUUUGUGCAACAGCAGAGAUGGCUGAAGGCUCCGCCAUCAGUACACUGCUGGAAAGGAACCAUGACAGCAGUCCGGAUGACUCUGUGAUCCUGUACACAAACCCUCUAGUCUAGAAAGCACCAGUAAAAAAUUUGGGUUGAGUUUUGUUGUAGAGUUAAACGUCUGAUUGUAUUCCUCUGCAGAAAGCCCUCAUCUCAAAAUAUACGUGCUGAUUAAAAUAGACAUUAGCCGUCCUUCCUUUUCCCAUUUUCUUGUUCCUCUUACUCAAUAUAAUAGCUUAUUCAGGAAUGUUCUGUUACUGUCGGUUAGCAUUUUUCCAACUGUUUCCAAUGCUCUGUGUAAACAUGGCUUUGUAGACUCUUCCAUGCAUAUGUUACUGUUUGAAAUGCUUUGUUCUCACUUAAUAAAUGCAAAUAUAUUUUUUCGGUGU